rnacentral:pre_miRNA from 1 species
GUCAGCUAUGUGGACUCUAGCUGCCAAAGGCGCUUCUCCAUCUGAACAGAGCGCUUUGCUCAGCCAGUGUAGACAUGGCCUGAU